rnacentral:rRNA from 1 species
CCUACGGGAGGCAGCAGUGAGGAAUAUUGGACAAUGGACGCAAGUCUGAUCCAGCCAUUCCGCGUGCAGGAUGAAGGCCCUCGGGUUGUAAACUGCUUUUGUACGGAACGAAAAGGUUUGUCUUAAUACGAUGAGCUCAUGACGGUACCGUAAGAAUAAGCACCGGCUAACUACGUGCCAGCAGCCGCGGUAAU